AUGAAGAAGACCACUUUUUUCGAGUGGAACGAUAAGGCGGAUGAAGCUUUUAUCCAGCUAAAGAAGAUGCAGACCACUCCGCCUGUCCUGGCGGCUCCGACUCCUAAGGAGCCCAUGCUCCUCUACAUCGCCGCCACCAGCGGGGUGGUCAGCACGGUCAUAGUUGUGGAACGAAAGGAAGAAGGCAAAGCACUACCGGUCCAGAGGCCGGUGUAUUACCUGAGUGAAGUGUUGUCUGCCUCCAAGCAGAAUUACCCCCAUUAUCAGAAGAUGUGCUACGGCGUGCAUUUUGCCGCCAAGAAGCUGAAGCCAUACUAUCAAGAGCACCCAAUCACUAUGGUCUGCACUGCUCCGCUUGCUGAGAUCAUUGGAAGCCGAGAUGCUUCAGGCCGGGUGGCCAAUGGGCCAUAG
rnacentral:rRNA from 1 species